GUCUACAGCCAUAUCACCCUGAACAUGCCCAAUCUCAUCUGAUCUCGGAGGCUAAGUAGGGUUGGGCCUGGUUAGUACUUGAAUGGGAGAUACUUAAAAGAAAGAAACAGACACAGUGUGUA
rnacentral:rRNA from 1 species